CGGCGGGCCUGCCUAAUGGGCUGAUCUCCUGACAUUAACAUUGAUAUCAACAUUGUUAUCUUAACACCCAAUUAGUACAUUUUAAUACACUUGACUGACUUGUUUUGUUUCUUCUUGUCUUUCAGGAAAUGUCUUUUGUUCCCCGUUUCUGGUUCGAACCCUCUUCCUCUGAGCUCACCCCCUUCGCACCUCUGAUGCCUCCAACGCCGGGCUGUUCCGACCCAUGGUGAAGGCUGUCGCCAGGCCUAUGUGGCUUGGGUCAGGACGCAGAAGGUGGGAGCUACUGCGUCAAGGAUGGGGACCCUGAAGCAGUAUGUGCUGGCCCGGGACGCUGAGCCCACAGCAGCACCGGAGCCAGGACAUGUCCUCCCACGGCCAGGAGUCUCCUACUCUGAUCCGACCGACGCCGAACUGCUCGCCGCUGCCGACGAGGUCGACCCUCCCAGCAUGUCCAGGGACGCCCCGCCAGCCGCGGCCCCGCUGGAAGGACCAACACCAGGUCCAGGACCAGGACCGAUGGCCACGAGGCCUGCCUCCGGCAAAGUGCUGCUUCCCCUCAGCUGGAGGAAGACGCUGCCUGAGGAGCAGCAGGAGUGGGUGGGC
ensembl:lncRNA